rnacentral:misc_RNA from 1 species
CGUAGGUGAACCUGCGGAAGGAUCAUUACGAAUCCUAGCCAUUGCUUUGCGGUAAUGGUGAAACACCGUGCACUGGCAGCCAAAGAUUGGAGAGAGAAGGCAGUUCAAUAGAGGUGUGCCGCCGGCGUUAAAUCGGGUGCUGCACUUAAAAUUGUGGGAUCAUGUUCUACCGCCUGCAUAGCCUCGAACUCUCUCUCCUGUCUUUGACUUUUUGUGUGAUGUUUCUUAAACUGAUUUGGUAUUGUGGUGUAUUGAAUUGGUUGGAAUUAUUGACAACUUCUGACGGUGGAUCUCUUGGCUCGUGCAUCGAUGAAGAACGCAGCAAGCUGCGAUACCUAGUGUGAAUUGCAGAAUUCAGUGAAUCAUCGAGUCUUUGAACGCAAAUGGCGCUCCCGGGGUCUCCUCGGGAGCAGGUCUGUCCGAGCGUCUGCCAAUCAAAUUUAUUGUCACUCUGUGACAAAAGUGAGGAGCUGUCAUGGUGGCCUAUUCGGUCGCUUGGCACUCCUUGAAGAACAAUGUUCCACAAAGUGUGGAUUUUGUGACUUUGUCAUGGCAAGACAGUUGUCACAACGGCGUGGCCAAGUUGUGCAGUUGGAUCUUGUCUAGCCGGUCACUCGUCCAUGCA